GGCAAAGUUGUGAGAUAUUUUGAGGACAACGUGUUGGUGAGCUCGGAUAGUGAUUUGGAGUCCCCGUUUGAGCGGGGCAGCGUUUCGAGGACGUUCGGAAAGGGAAAGCUCCGGAGAAGUGAUUUUGGAGCACGUGUGAUUGGCCUACAGGUCCGGGCACUAGUAGCCAGCGUUGAUCGAGCUUGGAGCAGACUGAUCCGGAGACUGGAGUGAGCACACGACGCUUUGUACUAUUUCAGUCUCCAUCUGUAUAUUUAGACUUGUCUUUUACCUUUCGAGACAGUCCAGUCUAUGUUGUCCAUUUUUGGGACUUAUAUACUCAUUUUGUUAGUAGCUCUGUACUAGUGACUUCCAGGUUCUGGGAGGGAUCUUUA